UACGGAGGGUGCGAGCGUUGUCCGGAAUCAUUGGGCGUAAAGGGCGCGUAGGUGGCCCGCUCAGCGUGCGGUGAAAGCCUGGGGCUCAACCCCGGGUCGGCCGUGCGAACUGGUGGGCUGGAGCACUGUAGAGGCAGGCGGAAUUCCGGGUGUAGCGGUGGAAUGCGUAGAGAUCCGGAAGAACACCGGUGGCGAAGGCGGCCUGCUGGGCAGUGGCUGACACUGAGGCGCGACAGCGUGGGGAGCAAACAGGG
rnacentral:rRNA from 1 species